UUUUAAACUCUUAAUUUAAAAGAAAGUAGUUAAAUCCUACUAUUAAGGG
rnacentral:tRNA from 1 species